GGAGGCUUCGCCUAGUCCGGUCUAUGGCGCCGCACUGCUAAUGCGGUUUGGGUCUACAACCCAUCCGGGGUUCAAAUCCCCGAGCCUCCGCCC
rnacentral:tRNA from 1 species